CCCCACCCCCUCCACGACAUCCCCGAUUCAGUUGACCGCAGUUCAAUAACAUGACAGACCGUGUCUCCCUCAGAAAAACGUGCAAGCGUAUCCCUGGCCCCACAUAAUGACCCCGUUCGCCUUUCAAACGAUAAGAAACAGCAGUCACAUUAUCCACUGCUUACUUUGUCAGCUCAAAACGGUGGAAAUCGACAAGAAUUUUACAUCUGAGAAAACGAGAUGUUUUCUGCAAUCUGGACUCUUCUCCCUCCCACACUGUUUCAGAAGGGAAUGAGAGGAGCGGAGUAUACUCAUACAUUCAUCACACCACCACAUAUCCUCCAAAAUGACUAAAAUGUACAGUGGAGAGGUGGUAGACUGAGGAGCUCAUCACUCAUAGAGCCUUAACAAAAGGUGUCAGGCCCACACCAUGAGAAGAUGAAAGGUAAUCUUGGAUAAAUGUCAGGAUGUUUAAUCUUGCAAGUUUUUGUAUUUUAAUAACAUUGCAAUGACAUAAAAUGAUGCACAGGUUAUCUGCAAUUUAUUUUCAGUGUAAUGGUAUAAAUAGAUGACAUAAUUUGAAUUUGUCAAUUGUGUGUAUGCAUUAUGUACAAUAGCUGCUGGAACAGACAGAUUAGGUGCAUCUGUUAUCCAGUGUGUUAAAAUGUUUGGACUUUGAAGUUACUUUAAGAAAAUUGAAGAAUAUAAAGAUUUUGCAAGUUUCUUUUUUCUUUUUUUAAUUUUCAUAUAUAAUUCAUAACAUAUAGCAUAGACCAUAACAUAAAACAGGAGGUGUCUGCACUCUGUGGUUGGGAAAUGUUGUCAUCAUCUGAUGGUGGUCACGUAUACUGUUUGAUUUCAUACUGUAUGUGAGUAUGCAUUUGUAUUGUUUCACACACAAAAAUCUACAAGCAACACAUCUAACAGUGUGGGAUUUUUGUGUCGUGUAUAUUUACCUUAUACUGAUUUCAUGUAAAACACACAUGUAGUAAUAUUUCAAAUGGUUCCAGUUUAUUGGCAUCCACUGAAUCACUUUCAUUACAGAAAAACACUACUCUUACUGGUGGAGUCCUGGUAGUACAGUAUGAUUCUGCGGAGAGAAACACAUACCACACAGCAAGUAGGUAAGAAAAUUUCUAACUAAUAUCAACAGUGAAGCACACCUGGGUCAAAAUGUUGCUGAAAUCCCUCCUGGCGUACAGUUGUUGUAUUGAACAGUUUUUGUAAUUAUCUUUAAACAAAUAAUGGGUCAAAAUUCAUCCACUUUAAUAUUCAACAUCCAAAGUUUGUUUAACAUUAAUGUCAUUUUAAAGGCUAAUUAUUUGUUUUGGGCCCCACAAUGACUCCAGUGAUGACAUUUACACAUUUGGUUUAACAAACACUGGAAAGCUGCUGUGAGUCACAGUUUCACCUGCUGUUUGAAACAUUUUGUGGUUCAGGACAGUGAGGAGACACCAAUCAAUCAGAGAGUUUACUGAAAAGGAUUUGUCGCAGCAUCUCAACCCCAAGCUUGUUGCGUCAGCAGUUAAAUUACAGUUACUGUAAUCUUAUUUAACUUAUGAAAACACUCAUCCCACCAACAGCAGAAGCUGUGAUUUGCUUCUGAAAGCUUAAACAAAAUGAGUCUUGGUAAACAUAUCGCACAAUUUAUCAUAAAACUUCUCCAUAAAUGAUUUUUUCCCUGUAUUUUCUGUAUACAGACAACUGAAAAUCAAAUAUGAGCCAAACAAAUGAUACCUAUAGUUCUGGCCUUGACAGAGAACAGCUUGGAGAGCCCUCACAAACUUCUAAAUAUUUCACUGGGAAUAAGUCAUCCUUUGCCUUAGCCUUUAUCAAUUUUAAUAAAAGACUCUAGAGGUGAGUCUGAUGCUUCUACUUUUUAGUAAAAUAUUUAAUGUAUCAAUCAUCGUUAAGCAUUUUAAUCAUACUGGGUGAAUGUAAUAAUGUGAAUGAAUCAUCAUAAACUAUUUUCUUAAAUACUUGGAGCUGAGGAUGACAGUCUCAGUUUAUCUCACAUAUCUGAUGUAUUGAAUUAGAUAUGUGAGAUAAAGUGGAAUAGAUUAGACUUUCAAUACCAAAGCAGAUCUUGUGAUAUACAACAAGAUCAAAGAGAUUUCCUGUUCUGACCUAGUUAUGGUGAUAUUUCUUUCUUUCCAUAUCUGCCAACCCUACAUACGCUAAAACUAAAACACUUUUCUUUAGUUCUUUCUCACCAUUUUUCCCUUUCAAAAGAUACUGUCUUUUUGAAUUUUAGCAUUUCAGUUUUCCUACAAAUAAAAACCAGGCAGUUUCUUAGAAAGCAAACUUUGAAUUGUUUCUCCAAUCUCUAGGAUUUUUUUUUUUUUUUUUUUUUUGGUAAAACACAAACCUUGCCUAGUA